UUAAAUGAAAAUGAUUUGUUGCUGGGCUAAUGGUGUCCUAUUUAUUAUGAUGAUGAUGGACAUGACAGUACACUGAGCUGUAUUGAGGGUAACAGAUGCGACUGAGAAGCAGGCUCAGUACCCUCAGCACAAAGUGCAUGUGCAAGCUUUUAUUCUGAAGGCGGUGCCCUCUGUGUACCGGUGUGUUUCUUCCUAUCUUGCCAUCGCUUCACUCUCUUGUGUGCGCUCAACAGACUCCAGCUGGAAGCCGAGGUCCACGCCCCGUGGAACAGACUCCACCUUCACUUAUCGAUCGAUGAGGGAACAACAGAGUGGCGGAGAUGGAGGCUGUGAGGGUGGAAGCCUGUCCCUAGACUGGGGAUCCAGAGACCAGGAGCCCUGCAGGGCCGUAAUUGGGAAUUCUUACGAAAACACUCAUACUUAUUGUGAAGUGUAGCAGCGGGGGACGAGUCAUUCCCAGAUGAUGACAACUUCUUACACGAUGGACUCUGAGUUCCCUCUGCACAGAUGAUAUCAUAUCAGUGGUUUAAGUAAACCUAAACACAAAGUGAGGUCUUCCCCACCUCUGAGAGAUGACAACGAUCCACACCUGCUGCAGACGGAGUGAAAUCUGUGUGGUCAGAGCUGACGGAUGGUCGGAUUAAACACCCACGAGAUUGUCCCCUGCUGCUGCUUCUCAUACCAACGCUUUCUGGUGAGCUGGGUAUGCUGUAGGUGGACGCUUUCCUCCUCUUUCCAAAAACAAGUAAAUAAAUAAAUAAAACCAGGCUGUGGUACAGGAUUUUUCCUCCAAGAAAAACAUCAUGUGCAGCAGGACUUGCAGGUCGUCCUCAGCUGGAUCACUCACUUGUUUUUCACCUUUAAGCUGUUGAACAAACCAACUGAGUGGACCGUUUGUCUUGUUUAUAUCUUCAUAUCUGGACAUCUUGAUGAACAGAAGACACAGAAUUUACUGCACGUUACAGCGGUAGAUAGAGAUCCACGGACUGCAUCACACAUCCUCCUGGGCAGACAGCAGGUAGAGUUGAACUUCUUUAAGGCCGUCCUCUCGCUGGACGAUACGUUCACCAGCAGUGAGGAAAGCUGGAGUUGUACCAGCUCACGACCCAGUACUUCGGGUUGUGCUUCACCCAAUUAUAGGUAUUCUGGGUUAUUCGAGGUGAAGAAGUCAGACAAGUGCUCGUACAUAGUUGCCAUGGUAACGGGCUGCGGCCACUGAUGCUGGAGAGUCAAUGAGGCAACAAUAGCAACCUUAAUAAGUAGUCAGUCAAAUGGUAAUGUACCAGCUGGCUAUUUCUUUUUUUUCCUUUUUUUUUUUUACAAGUAUCUUCAUAAGUACCCACUUGCUAAACCAACUCAAUGUUGUCACCCUUUAUUUUUAAAAGAGGACACAAAGACCUAAAAAUAUAUUAUAUUCAGAUGCAUUAUUUUUAACUUCUGAAGCUGCAAACAUCUUGUA